rnacentral:tRNA from 1 species
GGCCCGUUGGUCAAGUGGUUAAGACACUGCCCUCUCACGGCGGUAACAUGGGUUCAAAUCCCGUACGGGUCA